rnacentral:rRNA from 1 species
GACGAACGCUGGCGGCGUGCUUAACACAUGCAAGUCGAGCGACGCUCUUCCUUCGGGGAGAUGACGGAGCGGCGAACGGGUGAGUAACACGUGGGCAACCUGCCCCUAGCUCUGGGACAACACCGGGCAACCGGUGCUAAUACCGGAUACGACAUCGAGCGGCAUCUCUCGAUGUGGAAAGUUUUUUCGGCUAGGGAUGGGCCCGCGGCCUAUCAGCUUGUUGGUGGGGUAAUGGCCCACCAAGGCGACGACGGGUAGCCGGACUGAGAGGGCGACCGGCCACACUGGGACGGAGACACGGCCCAGACUCCUACGGGAGGCAGCAGUGGGGAAUAUUGCGCAAUGGGCGAAAGCCUGACGCAGCGACGCCGCGUGAGGGAUGACGGCCUUCGGGGUGUAAACCUCUUUCAGCAGGGACGAAUUCAGACGGUACCUGCAGAAGAAGCACCGGCCAACUACGUG